CCUGAGGGGCCCCAGCAAACUUCCAGCUGCCAGCAAACUUCCAGCUGCCGGCUGACGAUUGGCUCACAGCAGCCCCAGCAACAUCUAGCUGAUUGGCUCCUCUGCGGUGAUGCUCAUUGGACUGUUUCCCUGCCCUUUCAGACCACGGAGCUGCUCAUUGGGGGACUUUUUUGGCUCCGCCCAUGUGACCCAGCCAAUCGGCCUCAAGAGCAGGAGGAUUGUGGGAGGUGGGGAGAAGCUUGUGUGGGAGAG
rnacentral:lncRNA from 1 species